rnacentral:rRNA from 1 species
UGCCAGCCGCCGCGGUAAUACAGAGGGUGCAAACGUUGUUCGGAAUCACUGGGCAUAAAGCGCACGUAGGCGGCUGAUCAAGUGCGAGGUGAAAGCCCACGGCUUACCCGUGGAAUUGCUUUGCAUACUGAUCGGCUAGAGUACGGGAGAGGAGAGCGGAACUCUUGGUGGAGCGGUGAAAUGCGUAGAUAUCAAGAGGAACACCAGAGGCGAAGGCGGCUCUCUGGCCCGAAACUGACGCUGAGGUGCGAAAGCCAGGGUAGCGAACGGGAUUAGAUA